UACGGAGGAUGCGAGCGUUAUCCGGAUUUAUUGGGUUUAAAGGGUGCGCAGGCGGAGGUGCAAGUCAGUGGUCAAAUUGCGGGGCUCAACCCCGUACUGCCGUUGAAACUGCAUCCCUUGAGUGCGCGAGAAGUAUGCGGAAUGCGUGGUGUAGCGGUGAAAUGCUUAGAUAUCACGAAGAACUCCGAUUGCGAAGGCAGCCUGCUGGACUGUAACUGACGCUGAUGCUCGAAAGUGUGGGUAUCAAACAGG
rnacentral:rRNA from 1 species